CUUGAACAGCGCAUUAUGAUGCAG
rnacentral:misc_RNA from 1 species